ACGGAAGGCAGCAGCUAAGAAUAUUCCGCAAUGGACGAAAGUCUGACGGAGCGACGCCGCGUGGAUGAUGAAGGUCGAAAGAUUGUAAAAUCCUUUUAGGAGUGAAGAAUAAGCGGUGCAGGGAAUGGCAUCGCGGUGACGGUAGCUCCUGAAUAAGCAACGGCUAAUUACGUGCAAGCAGCCGCGGUAACACGUAAGUUGCGAGCGUUGUUCGGAAUUAUUGGGCGUAAAGGGUAUGUAGGCGGUCGUGCAAGCUUGGUGUGAAAGGCAGGGGCUCAACCCCUGGACUGCAUUGAGAACUGCAAGACUUGAAUUGCUGAAGGGCAGCCGGAAUUCCAGGUGUAGGGGUGAAAUCUGUAGAUAUCUGGAAGAACACCAAUGGCGAAGGCAGGCUGCUGGCAGAUGAUUGACGCUGAGGUACGAAAGUGCGGGGAGCAAACAGGAUUAGAUACCCUGGUA
rnacentral:rRNA from 1 species